rnacentral:misc_RNA from 1 species
GGAGGGAUCAUUAACACGUGCUGGAAGGGCAAGCAAGCAAUUGCAAGCCCGGACACACGAACCCAACCCCCAUCCAAACAACGUGAACACGAACCGUGUCACGACACAGCAAUGGACGAUCGAACAAUCAUCAGGGUGGAGUCAGUCUGGUCCGUGCUCAACAAGGCACGGAAGCUGGAGACUGACUAUGACUCGAUCUAGAGGCUCUCCGAGGCUUCAAUCCCGCUGUGCCGUGACUGAUGCGCGACCACCUGGCAGACUGCAACACACUGGGGCAUGUGCACAACCCUUUCGAGGGGAGUGCUCGUGGCUGGUGCCCCCUGCAGCGUUCUGCCGAAUCCUUUCCACUUUUUUUUUAACCCCUUUAACAUCACACUUAACUGAACCUUUUGUUCUGUACUCGUGCACGCUCACUCCGUGUGUGUUGUACUGUGUGCUUGACAACAAGAUACGUAAUGCUGAACAACUCUUAGCAAUGGAUAUCUUGGUUCUCGUAACGAUGAAGAACGCAGCGAAAUGCGAUACGUAAUGCGAAUUGCAGAAUUCAGUGAAUCAUCAAAUCUUUGAACGCAAAUGGCGCUCUCGGGAUAGGCCCGGGAGCAUGCCUCUCUGAGUAUCGGUUCGACCACUCGCAGACCGCGUCCGUGAGCUGUAACAAGCACACGGGCCGCGUGUCGUGCGGAAGAUGAGCGUCUGACGGGCUUCCAGCCAGUGUCAGUCGCUUGAAGCGGAUGAACUCGGCUUGGAGCGCACUAGACAGUGCCAAUGCGUGUUGUCUUCGGACAUGACGUGUUGGCUAGCAGGACUCUCAGAGCUCCUCUUUUACUAGUGACGUGGAUAGAAGCACCACUUGUUGGUCUUUCAAAACGUCUGCUAGCAAAGGGGGAAGCAGCGGGAGGCUUGUGAACGUGUAGAGGCGCACCAAGCAUUACACAAGAGUGUCAAUGAAACAAGCGCGGCUGUGACAGAUGUGCUUCGGCAUGUGUGUUGUGGCCGUUCUUUGAAUUGGAUCUCAGAUGAAGCAAGAGGACCCCCUGAAUUUAAGCAUAUUAUUAAGGGGAGGAAAAGAAACUAACAAGGAUUCCCCUAGUAACGGCGAGUGAAGCGGGAUGGAGCUCAAUCUGGGAAUCGAGAGUGGAAGCCCACGCCUCGAAUUGUAUCCUAGAGACGUACUGUCAGCGUGUGACCUCGGUGCAAGUCUUUUGAAACAGGGCAUCAUGGAGGGUGAGAAUCCCGUCUCUGACCGAGAGUUCGCCGCGUACGACGUAUGUUCGACGAGUCGAGUUGUUUGGGAUUGCAGCUCUAAAUGGGUGGUAAAUUUCAUCGAAAGCUAAAUAUCGACGAGAGACCGAUAGCGAACAAGUACCGUGAGGGAAAGAUGAAAAGAACUUUGAAAAGAGAGUUAAAAAGUACUUGAAAUUGUUAAGAGGGAAGCGCUAGCAAGCAGUCAAGACACGCAGCUAUACUUACUGGGGGACAGCGAACACAGUGUGCAUUCAGAUCGCAAGACUGAGGUGCGCUGAGGACGACUGGCUGCCGGGUCAUGUAGCUGUGUGUGGGUCAGAGUCAAUUCGGAGCGCGGCUCAAGGCCGGUGGAAAGGUAGGGUCUCCGGACCUGUUAUAGUCCGCCGGUUGUACCGUGCUCUGGAUUGAGGAUUGAUAAUGGACGCCUUCCGGUUUCGGCGCGGCUCUCAUGUUGGGUAGGAUGGCUCCGAGGACAAUGUCCUGUGGGCUGUCGCUGCUCGCGCUUGGGUGUCGCUGCCAGAUGUCCAUUCGCGAUUCUGACGAAAUGCUUGCUAUCGACCCGUCUUGAAACACGGACCAAGGAGUCUAACAUAUAUGCGAGUAUGCGGGUGCCAAACUCGAAUGCGUAAUGAAAGUAAAGGUAGUUGUAAGACUGCUGUGGUAGGAAAGGACUGUCGCAAGGCACCCUGGCACUAUCGACCGAUCGUCACUUGUGAUGGAUUUGAGUGCGAGCAUAUCUGUUGGGACCCGAAAGAUGGUGAUCUAUGCCUGAACAGGGUGAAGCCAGGGGAAACUCUGGUGGAGGCUCGUAGCGAUACUGACGUGCAAAUCGUUCGUCUGAUUUGGGUAUAGGGGCGAAAGACUAAUCGAACCAUCUAGUAGCUGGUUCCCUC